rnacentral:rRNA from 1 species
GUGGGGAAUAUUGGACAAUGGGCGAAAGCCUGAUCCAGCCAUGCCGCGUGUGUGAAGAAGGUCUUCGGAUUGUAAAGCACUUUAAGUUGGGAGGAAGGGCAGUAAGUUAAUACCUUGCUGUUUUGACGUUACCGACAGAAUAAGCACCGGCUAACUUCGUGCCAGCAGCCGCGGUAAUACAAAGGGUGCAAGCGUUAAUCGGAAUUACUGGGCGUAAAGCGCGCGUAGGUGGUUUUGUAAGUUGGAGGUGAAAUCCCCGGGCUCAACCUGGGAACUGCCUCCAAAACUGCAUGACUAGAGUACGGUAGAGGGUAGUGGAAUUUCCUGUGUAGCGGUGAAAUGCGUAGAUAUAGGAAGGAACACCAGUGGCGAAGGCGACUACCUGGACUGAUACUGACACUGAGGUGCGAAAGCGUGGGGAGCAAACAGGAUUAGAAACCCUAGUAGUCC